AUUUUAUGACUCUAAAAAAUAUGUUUCUUUGAUAGGUGGCAAGAAGACUUUCUUUAAUAAAACAUCCAGAGUGCUCCACCAUGAGUGGUGGGAAAGCCAUAGAACAUUUGGCCAAACAAGGAAAUAGAUUUCAUUUUGACAUCAAACCUCCCUUGCAUCAUGCUAAAAAUUGUGAUUUUUCUUUUACUGGACUUCAACACGUUACUGAUAAAAUAAUAAUGAAAAAGGAAAAAGAGGAAGGUAUAUUUCUAAUUAGUAAAGUUGAACAGAUAAAUAUUCCUGGAUUGUGCCUAAAAAUAGCUGCUCAUUUCUGCAGGUAUUGAGAAGGGGCAAAUCCUGUCUUCAGCAGCAGACAUUGCUGCCACAGUACAGCACACAAUGGCAUGUCAUCUUGUGAAAAGAACACAUCGGGCUAUUCUGUUUUGUAAGCAGAGAGACUUGUUACCUCAAAAUAAUGCAGUACUGGUUGCAUCUGGUGGUGUCGCAAGUAACUUCUAUAUCCGCAGAGCUCUGGAAAUUUUAACAAAUGCAACACAGUGCACUUUGUUGUGUCCUCCUCCCAGACUAUGCACUGAUAAUGGCAUUAUGAUUGCAUGGUAAGCCACAGGAUAUACGUGCUUCACUCAUAACUAUGUAAAUAUUAAUUGCCAUUUUAUCAUACUAAGCCUUCUUCCUUCAGAUCUUGGAGCUAUUGAUUUUAUUUUAAUGCUUCUUAUUUAGGAAUGGUAUUGAAAGACUACGUGCUGGCUUGGGCAUUUUACAUGACAUAGAAGGCAUCCGCUAUGAACCAAAGUAUGUGGUAUCAUUCAUGAUCUUUAUGCAAGUUACAUUACUUAAGACAAAGCCUGGAUUUUGCCUUUAUAUAUGAGGUUUUCAUUGACAUUCUGGUGGUACUUGAAGGAAAGUUACAUAAAUUUCUUUCAUGAACCUAGUUAAGGUUGAUACCAUAUGAGAAAUAUUUUUGCUACAGUAUCAAAUUAUAAAAAUCUUGGCAAGUUUAGGUGAGUUAGAAACAGGUCAUGAGUAAGGGUGAUGAAUUCCCUCCUUUGGAACUAGAAUGUAAACUAUGUCCAUGACCUGGACUUUUGCAAUGUCAAGAACAUCUCAGAACCAGCAAGUAUGCUGGGAAAUUUAAGGAAAACAUGCAGAAAGCAUUCAGGUGUGAGAGUGGGUUGUGAUUAUGCUCUUACACAGGCAGUUGAGAAUUGGCCGAAAGAUAGCUGUUUCCUGCAAGCCUUAUUUCCUCUCCCAAAUCAAAGUUCCAGUGAAUAGCACAGUUUUUUCUUUACUUUUUUUCUUUUUUUUUUUAGAGUCUUAGUGUCAC
rnacentral:lncRNA from 1 species